rnacentral:rRNA from 1 species
CCGGCACGGGUGGAGUAACGCGUAUGCAACUUGCCUAUCAGAGGGGGAGUAUCCGGCGAAAGUCGGACUAAUACCGCAUGAAGCAGGGGCCCCGCAUGGGGAUAUUUGCUAAAGAUUCAUCGCUGAUAGAUAGGCAUGCGUUCCAUUAGGCAGUUGGCGGGGUAACGGCCCACCAAACCGACGAUGGAUAGGGGUUCUGAGAGGAAGGUCCCCCACAUUGGUACUGAGACACGGACCAA